rnacentral:rRNA from 1 species
GUGGUGUGACUGCGUACCUUUUGUAUAAUGGGUCAGCGACUUAUAUUCUGUAGCAAGGUUAACCGUAUAGGGGAGCCGAAGGGAAACCGAGUCUUAACUGGGCGUUAAGUUGCAGGGUAUAGACCCGAAACCCGGUGAUCUAGCCAUGGGCAGGUUGAAGGUUGGGUAACACUAACUGGAGGACCGAACCGACUAAUGUUGAAAAAUUAGCGGAUGACUUGUGGCUGGGGGUGAAAGGCCAAUCAAACCGGGAGAUAGCUGGUUCUCCCCGAAAGCUAUUUAGGUAGCGCCUCGUGAACUCAUCUUCGGGGGUAGAGCACUGUUUCGGCUAGGGGGCCAUCCCGGCUUACCAACCCGAUGCAAACUACGAAUACCGAAGAAUGUUAUCACGGGAGACACACGGCGGGUGCUAACGUCCGUCGUGAAGAGGGAAACAACCCAGACCGCCAGCUAAGGUCCCAAAGUCAUGGUUAAGUGGGAAACGAUGUGGGAAGGCACAGACAGCCAGGAUGUUGGCUUAGAAGCAGCCAUCAUUUAAAGAAAGCGUAAUAGCUCACUGGUCGAGUCGGCCUGCGCGGAAGAUGUAACGGGGCUAAACCAUGCACCGAAGCUGCGGCAGCGACGCUUAUGCGUUGUUGGGUAGGGGAGCGUUCUGUAAGCCGUUGAAGGUGUGCUGUGAGGCAUGCUGGAGGUAUCAGAAGUGCGAAUGCUGACAUAAGUAACGAUAAAGCGGGUGAAAAGCCCGCUCGCCGGAAGACCAAGGGUUCCUGUCCAACGUUAAUCGGGGCAGGGUGAGUCGACCCCUAAGGCGAGGCCGAAAGGCGUAGUCGAUGGGAAACAGGUUAAUAUUCCUGUACUUGGUGUUACUGCGAAGGGGGGACGGAGAAGGCUAUGUUAGCCGGGCGACGGUUGUCCCGGUUUAAGCAUGUAGGCGGAGGUUCCAGGUAAAUCCGGUACCUUUUAACGCUGAGGUGUGAUGACGAGGCACUACGGUGCUGAAGUAACAAAUGCCCUGCUUCCAGGAAAAGCCUCUAAGCAUCAGGUAACACGAAAUCGUACCCCAAACCGACACAGGUGGUCAGGUAGAGAAUACCAAGGCGCUUGAGAGAACUCGGGUGAAGGAACUAGGCAAAAUGGUGCCGUAACUUCGGGAGAAGGCACGCUGAUAUGUAGGUGAAGCCCCUGCGGGUGGAGCUGAAAUCAGUCGAAGAUACCAGCUGGCUGCAACUGUUUAUUAAAAACACAGCACUGUGCAAACACGAAAGUGGACGUAUACGGUGUGACGCCUGCCCGGUGCCGGAAGGUUAAUUGAUGGGGUUAGCGGUAACGCGAAGCUCUUGAUCGAAGCCCCGGUAAACGGCGGCCGUAACUAUAACGGUCCUAAGGUAGCGAAAUUCCUUGUCGGGUAAGUUCCGACCUGCACGAAUGGCGUAAUGAUGGCCAGGCUGUCUCCACCCGAGACUCAGUGAAAUUGAACUCGCUGUGAAGAUGCAGUGUACCCGCGGCAAGACGGAAAGACCCCGUGAACCUUUACUAUAGCUUGACACUGAACACUGGUCCUUGAUGUGUAGGAUAGGUGGGAGGCUUUGAAGCGUGGACGCCAGUCUGCGUGGAGCCGACCUUGAAAUACCACCCUUUAAUGGCUGGUGUUCUAACGUAGACCCGUGAUCCGGGUUGCGGACAGUGUCUGGUGGGUAGUUUGACUGGGGCGGUCUCCUCCCAAAGAGUAACGGAGGAGCACGAAGGUUAGCUAAUCCUGGUCGGACAUCAGGAGGUUAGUGCAAUGGCAUAAGCUAGCUUGACUGCGAGAGUGACGGCUCGAGCAGGUGCGAAAGCAGGUCAUAGUGAUCCGGUGGUUCUGAAUGGAAGGGCCAUCGCUCAACGGAUAAAAGGUACUCCGGGGAUAACAGGCUGAUACCGCCCAAGAGUUCAUAUCGACGGCGGUGUUUGGCACCUCGAUGUCGGCUCAUCACAUCCUGGGGCUGAAGUAGGUCCCAAGGGUAUGGCUGUUCGCCAUUUAAAGUGGUACGCGAGCUGGGUUUAGAACGUCGUGAGACAGUUCGGUCCCUAUCUGCCGUGGGCGCUGGAGAAUUGAGGGGGGCUGCUCCUAGUACGAGAGGACCGGAGUGGACGCAUCACUGGUGUUCGGGUUGUCAUGCCAAUGGCACUGCCCGGUAGCUAAAUGCGGAAAAGAUAAGUGCUGAAAGCAUCUAAGCACGAAACUUGCCCCGAGAUGAGUUCUCCCUGACCCUUUAAGGGUCCUGAAGGAACGUUGAAGACUACGACGUUGAUAGGUCGGGUGUGUAAGCGCAGCGAUGCGUUGAGCUAACCGAUACUAAUGAACCGUGAGGCUUAACCUUACAACGCCGAAGCUGUU